UACAGAGGUCUCAAGCGUUGUUCGGAUUCAUUGGGCGUAAAGGGUGCGUAGGCGGCGCGGUAAGUCGGGUGUGAAAUCUCGGAGCUUAACUCCGAAACUGCAUUCGAUACUGCCGUGCUUGAGGACUGGAGAGGAGGCUGGAAUUUACGGUGUAGCGGUGAAAUGCGUAGAUAUCGUAAGGAAGACCAGUGGCGAAGGCGGGUCUCUGGACAGUUCCUGACGCUGAGGCACGAAGGUCAGGGGAGCAAACGGG
rnacentral:rRNA from 1 species